rnacentral:rRNA from 1 species
GAGUUUGAUCAUGGCUCAGGAUGAACGCUAGCGGCGUGCCUAAUACAUGCAAGUCGAACGAAGCCUUCGGGCUUAGUGGCGGACGGGUGAGUAACACGUUGGUACCUACCCCGAAGUGGGGAAUAACUGCCCGAAAGGGUGGCUAAUACCGCAUAAUACCGCAAGGUUAAAGCAGUAAUGCGCUUCGGGAGGGGCCUGCGUCCCAUUAGCUUGUUGGUAGUGUAAUGGACUACCAAGGCGACGAUGGGUAGCUGGAUCGAGAGGUUGACCAGCCACACUGGGACUGAGAUACGGCCCAGACUCCUACGGGAGGCAGCAGUAAGGAAUCUUCCACAAUGGACGAAAGUCUGAUGGAGCAACGCCGCGUGCA